UCCGGCUUACCACCGGCAGUCCCAUUAGAGUGCCCAACUUAAUGAUGGCAACUAAUGGCGAGGGUUGCGCUCGUUGCAGGACUUAACCCAACAUUUCACAACACGAGCUGACGACAGCCAUGCACCACCUGUGUAUCACCCUCGAAGGCGACUACUUUUCGGUAGCUUGCAGAUACAUGUCAAGCCCUGGUAAGGUUCUUCGCGUUGCAUCGAAUUAAGCCACAUGCUCCACCGCUUGUGCGGGCCCCCGCCAAUUCCUUUGAGUUUUAGUCUUGCGACCGUAGUUCCCAGGCGGAUCACUUAAUGCGUUAGCUGCGGCACGGAACUCGUGGAAUGAGCCCCACACCUAGUGCCCAACGUUUACGGCAUGGACUAC
rnacentral:misc_RNA from 1 species